CGAAUAGGAACAGCUCCGGUCUACAGCUCCCAGCGUGAGCAAAGCAGAAGACGGGUGAUUUCUGCAUUUCCAUCUGAGGCAAUGGGGAGUCACUGGAAUGCUUGAACAACGUUACUUUAAGAUGAUUUUGACAAUGCGUGGAGACUAGAUCAAAGGAAAGAGAUGCUGGAUGUCAGUGUCCAAAGUGUCCUUGGAAGCCACAUGUUGAAGACACCAAAGCUUCUGAAAGCCUGAACGGCUGCAUGGUGUGGAUUCUUCUCUCCCCAGCCCCAUCUCCCCAACACUGCUGCUGUUAGACUUAACAAAAGCUAGAAAUAAACUUCUACUGAGUUAAUACUCUGAGAUUUCAGGUUUUAUCUUUUAGCCACAGAGAUUCCAGAGUUUAUCUGCUAACUAAAAGACGAAUGCUGCAACUCAGCUGAUAAUGGACUCUAUCCCACUUGCGAUACAAAUCUGGGUUUCUAGCCAACAGCAGCUCUUAAAUUCCAUUUAUUUGGAGACUAUAAAAUUGAUUCACACACCAAACACCUGUUUAGCUUCCUACAUAGGGAAUCUAUGUCCACAAGUGACUCAUACUACAGAGUUUCAACAUGCAGUCUCUUCUCAGGCUGAGUUUUAGACUGAGGCCAGUGUUCAUGGGGACCCACCUUGGGCGUAGAAAGCCAUGGAGGCCUGAACAGCUAACCAGAUGGUUAGAAACAUCACUCUGACUAAACCUUACAUACUGUGCCCUCACACAUAUGUCUUCUCAUUCUACUGGGGAUGAGGGCCACCAAGGGCCCUCAUAGCCACAUAGGAAAGUUACCCAGCAUAAGAAAAUGACAGAACCAGGACUGAAGGCUG
rnacentral:lncRNA from 1 species